UAAUACAGAGGAUGCAAGCGUUAUCCGGAAUCACUGGGCAUAAAGCGUCUGUAGGUGGUUUGGUAAGUCUGCUGUUAAAGACUGGGGCUCAACCCCAGAAAAGCAGUGGAAACUGCUAGACUUGAGUGUGGUAGAGGUAGAGGGAAUUCCUAGUGUAGCGGUGAAAUGCGUAGAUAUUAGGAAGAACACCAAUGGCGAAGGCACUCUACUGGGCCAUAACUGACACUGAGAGACGACAGCUAGGGGAGCAAAUGGGAUUAGAUACCCCAGUAGUCCUAGCCGUAAACGAUGGAUACUAGAUGUUGCACGUAUUAACCCGUGCAGUAUCGUAGCUAAGGCGUUAAGUAUCCCGCCUGGGAAGUACGCUCGCAAGAGUG
rnacentral:rRNA from 1 species